UGGGGAAUUUUGGACAAUGGGCGAAAGCCUGAUCCAGCAAUGCCGCGUGUGUGAAGAAGGCCUUCGGGUUGUAAAGCACUUUUGUCCGGAAAGAAAUCCUUGGCUCUAAUACAGUCGGGGGAUGACGGUACCGGAAGAAUAAGCACCGGCUAACUACGUGCCAGCAGCCGCGGUAAUACGUAGGGUGCAAGCGUUAAUCGGAAUUACUGGGCGUAAAGCGUGCGCAGGCGGUUUGCUAAGACCGAUGUGAAAUCCCCGGGCUCAACCUGGGAACUGCAUUGGUGACUGGCAGGCUAGAGUAUGGCAGAGGGGGGUAGAAUUCCACGUGUAGCAGUGAAAUGCGUAGAGAUGUGGAGGAAUACCGAUGGCGAAGGCAGCCCCCUGGCCAAGUACUGACGCUCAUGCACGAAAGCGUGGGGAGCAAACAGGAUUAAUACCCUGGUAGUCCACGCCCUAAACGAUGUCAACUAGUUGUUGGGGAUUCAUUUCCUUAGUAACGUAGCUAACGCGUGAAGUUGACCGCCUGGGGAGUACGGUCGC
rnacentral:rRNA from 1 species